AUUGAACGCUGGCGGCAGGCCUAACACAUGCAAGUCGAGCGGAUGAAGGGAGCUUGCUCCUGGAUUCGGCGGCGGACGGGUGAGUAAUGCCUAGGAAUCUGCCUGGUAGUGGGGGAUAACGUCCGGAAACGGGCGCUAAUACCGCAUACGUCCUGAGGGAGAAAGUGGGGGAUCUUCGGACCUCACGCUAUCAGAUGAGCCUAGGUCGGAUUAGCUAGUUGGUGGGGUAAAGGCCUACCAAGGCGACGAUCCGUAACUGGUCUGAGAGGAUGAUCAGUCACACUGGAACUGAGACACGGUCCAGACUCCUACGGGAGGCAGCAGUGGGGAAUAUUGGACAAUGGGCGAGAGCCUGAUCCAGCCAUGCCGCGUGUGUGAAGAAGGUCUUCGGAUUGUAAAGCACUUUAAGUUGGGAGGAAGGGCAGUAAGUUAAUACCUUGCUGUUUUGACGUUACCAACAGAAUAAGCACCGGCUAACUUCGUG
rnacentral:rRNA from 1 species